rnacentral:lncRNA from 1 species
UUAAGAUUUUAUUUUGAUCUUUUUUUGAGUCAUGAUUUUAAAAGUGUUUGUUUGAAGGUUAUAGCACCUUAUUAACUGACUAAAGAACUUCUGUCCUGACCUAGAGUCCAACAGAACAGAGUGAGUGAGAGGGCCGGGCUCAAAGAGAGAGAGAAAAAGAGAAACUGAUAGAACGAAAAAGCAGCAUAUCAUUUAGGGGAGGAGUUUACAUACUUCGUUCAGGAAAAGCUCUAAACUCAUGCCACAAGGACAUACACACACACACAGACAUACACACCCCUUGCCCUACAGGAGCAUUACAGACUAUAAUGUUUAGUUUUAGUCAGUUUGAAAGGAACUUUUCGCCAACUCCACAGAGCAGAUACUGACAGAUCUAUGCGGAACAAACACACAGCCGGGUGUCAGCUGGACAGAGGUUGGUCCCAUCCUGGCUUUCAUAGAUUUUUGCCAUGAGAAGAAAGAGUAACUUUCACAGGGAGACAUCACAGUGUUUCUGUCAGUCAUGGGUAAUAGCUUUACCCAUGAAGCGAUAUCCCCCGCUGAGCUCGAUGCCUUAUGGAAUGACCCUCCAUACGCUUUAGCAGCCGUCAGUGAGCUCUUUUCACCCAAUGACGCCAUGACAGCUGAUGAGGAAGCGGAGGCUGAGGCCGAGGUGGAGGCAGAAGGCAUAAGCAGAGAAAUUUACUGGAGGAGGAAGGAAACAUUCAGCGGAAGUAGCAAAGUAUCUUCAGCAGGAGAACGCUUCUCUUCAGAUGUUGUUUUGUUGUUUAGCGGGAGGCGACGAUCUGGGGUAACACCUGACGGUGAGCUUCAGGAGGCGUUACGUACCAGACUCCGAGUAGUAGAGAGCAACAGCCAGGAUGUUGUUCAGCUCUUUAAGGAUCUGUCUGCAAGACUAGUGUCUGUUAAUGCUGAAAAAGACAGCUUUAUCAUCACCUUUAAGACUGUCGAAGAGAUUUGGAAGUUCUCCACUUACCUGGCACUCGGAUAUGUAGCAAGAUGUCUUGAAAAUUUUCUCUGUGACCAGUCGUUCUGGCUGGACCCUGCAUUGCUAAGCGAUGUGGAGAUCUGUGUAACAGUGGAUGAAGACCACUUAGCUACUCUUUACCUAGGACUUCUGCUACAGGAAGGUACAUUCUUUGCCAAGACUUUAUAUAACAGUGAUUGCAGAGAGGAGGAAGAGGAGCUGACCUAUAGGAGGAAUGACCUGGUCAUGGUUAAAGACAUAGGACAAGAGACAAUUUGGGAGGGUAUGCUGCUGUCCACAGGCCAACAUGGUCUGGUGCCUGUGCAUGAUAUGCAGCCUCUGCCCUAUCCAUUUUAUCAGUGGUUCCUUAAGAAAUAUCCCGGGAAUGCAGGAGGGAUUCCAGUUACAGAAGGCCUCUUCGAUCAUCCUGUUGUGGUGGGGACUUGUGUAGCAGUAGUGGACCAUAACCCAAUUGUUAAAGAUGAGCUGCACUUACACAUAAUCAAGAUUGAGGGAUUUCUUUUCAAUGCUCUGAACAUGUUCAUAGGAAGACACCUCACCAGUGGAGAGAUAGGAUUUGUUCACAAGGCCAGUGUAAAACCUCAGAGUAUUGAGCCUCUCAAUGGACAAUUGGUCUUUCUCAGUGAGGAGGAAAGGGUGGCCCUGACUAAACUUAACCCCUGCUUUGAGCCCUGCCAGUCUGAUGUACUAGCAAAUCUAUCCUGCACUGAUAUAAGCACUGUGUAUAGACUGGAUAGACUUGAUGACUCUGAUUUCACUUACAUAAGAAAUCAUCCAAAGUCAGAGCAGAAAUCUACAGUGGAUCAAAGAAGGAGCACCAUUUCUGAAAACAGUGGUGUAACUCCCUACCACUCGUCACCACGGCAAUCGUUCUGUGCCUCUCGGAAUCAUCUCGACCGGGACUCUGAGGUCCUCUCCUUUAGCCUGGAGGACACCUUUAGAGAGAUGGAUGAAUAUGAGGAAGACCCUCCAAACUUCAUGGAUGAGGGUAUCUGGGAGGCUGAUGAAGCCGAGAGAUGUGACCCAAUCCUGACCCUCCUAAAUCUGGAAUAUUUCCAGGACACAUUUCAAACUCUUUACGACCUCUCCUACUCUUUCCUGGACACUUUCUUCCAUGGCCUUGCAGAGGAUGAGGUGCUUCAACAUCUGGAAAACUUGCGAGAAGGAGCGAAGAAAGGCAGGAUGCUCUGGGCCCACCGGCGAGCCUGCUUCCUUCUUGGCCGGCUAUGUGCCAAGAAACUGAAGUACUCGCAAGCACGAGUGUACUUUGAGGAGGCUCAAAAGGUCCCUGUAAAUGGUUUUGAUGACAAACCCCUUCUAACAGCCCUGUAUACCAAUCUCACUGCUGUUUACCUCAAACAGAAGAUGAUGGACAAGCUGCCAUUCACUCUAGAAAAGGCAAGUGCUCUAAUUAUGUGUCUUCCUUGCCACAACUUCUGCUCUGUGGAUGAGUUUGAGCUGCUCAAACCAAUCAUGCGCAAAGCCAUAAUUGAAAAAGACAAGUACCUAGAGGCACGGACAUGCUACCUCUCCCUCUGUCUCUUUCUCCAGAGACUUCAGUUCCUUACUAUCACUCUGUCUGCGGAACAAGGGAGGCCAAUUGCCCCAGUUGAUCUCAACUGGAUGCUGUGCAGGCUUUAUCAUAAAAAGUAUUUGCCCUACCUCACACUAGCUUCUUUAAGUCUAGACUCAGGGCAAGAGCAUUCCUUGGAUGAUGCAUUCCAGAAAAUUGAACUCUUUAUCAAAAACUCAAUAAGGCUUAAUCCGCACUGGAAGGAGAGUACUUCUGUGCUUCCUGCACAGGUGGUGGUCUACCUUCAGCAGGCCUUGUCAAUAGCUAGUCAAGGGGAAGACUUGAGGACUCAGAGGGACCUGUGCCUGAGCCUGGCUAGUGUUUACCAGCAGCAUGGAGCUUUAGAGAAGGCUGUGCCCUUUGCCCAAAAAGCAGCACAGACUGGAAGCCAAGUUAAUGAAGAGGAGGGAUUUGAAGCAUCCAUACUGCUGGCCUGGCUAUUGGUGCUAACAGAGGAACCCAUACAAGCUCAGAAUACGCUGCAACCUAUGCUUAAAUCUUUGGAUGAAACAGACAGUCCGACACAGCGUGGUGUAGUCUACAACCUUUUAGCCCUAAGCCUCCGCAAACAGGGAAGAGUCCAGGAAGCAGCAAGAAACUUUUAUUGCGCUCUGCAGAUCUCUCGAGAGAAUGGGAACAAGCGUAAUGAAGCACUAGCACUGGCUAACUUGGGCUGCUUAUCUCUAUCUGUAGGGGCUUCGGGCUUAGCAGAGUGUUUCCUACUCAAUUCCCUGCACCUAUUCCAGUUUCUCUCAGAGAGUCCCACAGAUCAGGAGCAUGUCCAGGCUUUGCUUUGGCUUGUCAGACUAUGCUUUGAGAUGGGCCUCCUUAUUGCUAUUAGUGCCAACAAUCUGCACAGUCAAAUGGUUGUGGCGAAAGUUCUAAGUCGCCAUUAUGCUGACUUGCUGCUGUAUGGACAGUGUAUUGUUUACUAUGAGCACUGUGUGGGGCUGUGCAGAAUGCUAAAGAAUAAACAGCUAGAAGGAGAGUACCUGGAACUUCUCAGCAACCUCUAUCUCUCACUAAACACUGAGAAGUCAUCAAGAAAAUCUCUUGAUUAUUCAAAGCAAAGCUUAAGGAUCUCCAUAGACCUGGGGAAAAGACAGGAAGAGUCUGAGACAUGGCUGCAAGUGGGCCGUAUCUACUAUCUGAUCCAUGAAGAUGAACUGGCUGACAUGUACCUACAGGCAGCAGUAAAGACAGCCCUGAGGAUGAAUGACCCAUGCUUUGCUAUGAGCAUUUAUGAGGAAGCAGGAGAUGUGUUCUUCAAAGGACACAGAAACCAACUGGCUGCCCUACCUUUUUACAGAGAUGGGAGUUUGCCAUUUGCGCGCAGCAUUAAGGAUGUGCACUCAGAGUUUAGGCUUUUGAGCAAACUCACAGAGCUCCUGAUAAAGCAGAAGCAGUACGAAGAGGCACUGCAGUAUGCCACACUCGCAGUGCAGGUCAGCGCCACAACUGGUGUUCCUCUGAAUGAGAGAGUGUCUUUUCAUCGUCUUGCUUCAGUGUACUUCUCUCUAGGGAAGUAUGAGAUGGCUGAGAACUACUACCUGAAGUCUCUUUCACUCUGCCCCACUGCACUUGAACAUGCCAUUGAAGUUCGGUAUUAUGUUAAAGUGUACUGCAGACUGGCUGACAUGACCCUAUACAGAUUAAAGGAUGCUUUUGAUGCCAUGGGCUACUUCCACUUAGCCCUGGCGGCAGCACUGGAGGACAAAGAAAGCCUAAGCACACUUUACAUAAUCUACAUGAAGCUUGCAGAGAUCCAUGCCAACUACAUACCCGAUGCUGAACUGAGUAAAAGCUACAUGGAAAGAGCGCAGAGCUUGAGGAAGGAACUGGCAGGAUACACAGACUCAAGUGACACAGAAGAAACACAUCAGGACCCAGCUGAGGCAGAGCCAGAUACUCACACCAAAACUGGUCAGUCAGACUCCAGCAGUGGCACCAGUACUCUUACAGAGUCCAGCAUGACAGACACCAGCCUCACAAUCAAUGCUCAGGAAGAGUCUGAGCACAUACUAACUAACACAAGUCACAAAGAAGACAUGGACACUAACAUAUCGGAGGAAACAGAUGCGGGGCCUCCUGAUCAAACCAAUCCAGAGACUAGCUGUGCUGAUAAUACAAACCACACUUGUCAAAGCAGUUUGAAGGAGGCAUUUGCAUGA